UACAGAGGUCCCAAGCGUUGUUCGGAUUCACUGGGCGUAAAGGGUGCGUAGGCGGUCGGGUAAGUCUGAUGUGAAAUCUCACAGCUUAACUGUGAAACUGCAUUGGAUACUAUUCGGCUUGAGAGUUGGAGGGGGGACUGGAAUUCUUGGUGUAGCAGUGAAAUGCGUAGAUAUCAAGAGAAACACCAGUGGCGAAGGCGAGUCCCUGGACAACUUCUGACGCUGAGGCACGAAAGCUAGGGGAGCAAACAGG
rnacentral:rRNA from 1 species